CAACUGACUUGUGAAGAAUACCUGAACUGCGCUGGCAAAAUCAUGGGGAAGAAAGCUACCAAGGAAGGCCGCAACGAAACCAUACUCUGCCUGAUAAAGUACGUGGAACAGCACCUUCCACCGGAUUUACCGACAGGCGAUCACCACGAGCCACG